AUACGUAGGGAGCGAGCGUUGUCCGGAAUUACUGGGCGUAAAGGGCGCGUAGGCGGCGCUUCAAGUCGUCUGUCAAAUGGGAGGGCUUAACCCUUUUUCGCAGACGAAACUGGAGAGCUUGAGAAGCAGAGAGGCAAACAGAAUUCCUGGUGUAGCGGUGAAAUGCGUAGAUAUCAGGAAGAACACCAGUGGCGAAGGCGCUUCACUAGCCCGAAACUGACGCUCAGUCACGAAAGCGUGGGUAGCAAAUAGGAUUAGAUACCCUAGUAGUCCACGCUGUAAACGAUGACAACUAAAUAUUGCCGCGAGGCAGUGUUGAAGCUAACGCAUUAAGUUGUCCGCCUGGGGAGUACGGUCGCAAGACUGAAACUUAAAGGAAUUGACGGGG
rnacentral:rRNA from 1 species